UACGGGGGGAGCAAGCGUUGUUCGGAUUUACUGGGCGUAAAGGGCGCGUAGGCGGCCAGCACAAGUCAGUUGUGAAAUCUCCGAGCUUAACUCGGAAAGGUCAACUGAUACUGUGCGGCUAGAGUGCAGAAGGGGCAACUGGAAUUCUUGGUGUAGCGGUGAAAUGCGUAGAUAUCAAGAGGAACACCUGCGGCGAAGGCGGGUUGCUGGGCCGACACUGACGCUGAGGCGCGAAAGCCAGGGGAGCAAACGGG
rnacentral:rRNA from 1 species